AGUGAACGCUGGCGGCAGGCCUAAUACAUGCAAGUCGAACGGCAGCACAGCAGAGCUUGCUCUGUGGGUGGCGAGUGGCGGACGGGUGAGGAAUACAUGGGAAUCUGCCCAGUCGUGGGGGAUAACGUAUGGAAACGUACGCUAAUACCGCAUGCGCCCUACGGGGGAAAGCCGGGGACCGAAAGGCCUGGCGCGAUUGGAUGAGCCCAUGUUCGAUUAGCUAGUUGGCGGGUAAAGGCCCACCAAGGCGACGAUCCGUAGCGGGUCUGAGAGGAUGAUCCGCCACACUGGGACUGAGACACGGCCCAGACUCCUACGGGAGGCAGCAGUGGGGAAUUUUGGACAAUGGGCGCAAGCCUGAUCCAGCCAUGCCGCGUGAGUGAAGAAGG
rnacentral:rRNA from 1 species